AGAUGCUUUUCAGUGAUAGCUCCAGUGUUUAUUAUUUCAUACAACAUGGCCAGCGUUUUGGAAGACAAUAUCUUUGCAGAAAGGUAUUGUCUAACAGAAAAGGGUAAUGAGUGGAUCCAAACUGAUAAACGGCUUUGCCAUUGUGUAGUACGAUGAAAUAGUUCCCAGAAUAUGCUGCCCAAUAAACAUCUUUCUGCAAUGAAUAGUAGCAAGCAGAUCAUGUUAAAAAGCUGCGGUGAACUGCCACCAGUCUCUUGGAUCGCUUCAUUUGGAAAUAAGAGAAAUGUUUACAUUCUGCACAUGUAAAGACACAAAGCAAGGACUGCACUCAAAAAGUCUCUCUACGAAUAAUACGUUGCUGCUGUUUGAUUCCUGCUAUAAUCAGGGAAAGUAAAUCAGAAUGCAUGAUGGAUGCCUAGUUUCAGCAUGAAUUUCACUUCCUACCAGACAGCACUUCAGCUAACUCUUCAGAUCAGCAUGUGAGUUAACCUUUUUGGAAACGAAAGGAAAUGCAACUACUGCUCUGCCCAGAAGAGAGCAAUGAGAAGCCAUUAAUCUCCCUUAUGUAACCAGGCAGGUGAUAUGGAAAUUUCCAGAUGGUGUGUUAGGACCACAUACUGCCCUGAAUCCAGGAUGUUGUUUAGAAAGGUGCUUUGGGCCUCUGCUUCAUGCCACGUUUCACCAGCUGACAUUUUAAAGCUGCUUUUUCACUACUCUGAGCUAAAUUUGCAAUACAUCGGUUUUUCUUCAGGAGAUUGGACACAUUAAAAACAAAAAUAAGGGUCAUUUGAGAUGCAGAGAUGUAGGCAUUAAUUUGAACCUAUGGAUUUGGACCUGUAUCUAUUUUCUGAUUUUUCUCUAAAAGAUUAAAGUGUUUAAAUCUUA
rnacentral:lncRNA from 1 species